GGUCCUACGGGACGCAGCAGUGGGGAAUAUUGGACAAUGGGGGAAACCCUGAUCCAGCGACGCCGCGUGAGUGAAGAAGUAUUUCGGUACGUAAAGCUCUAUCAGCAGGAAAGAAAAUGACGGUACCUGACUAAGAAGCCCCGGCUAACUACGUGCCAGCAGCCGCGGUAAUACGUAGGGGGCAAGCGUUAUCCGGAUUUACUGGGUGUAAAGGGAGCGUAGACGGCAGCGCAAGUCAGAAGUGAAAGCCCGGGGCUCAACCCCGGGACUGCUUUUGAAACUGCGUGGCUGGAGUGCAGGAGAGG
rnacentral:rRNA from 1 species